rnacentral:rRNA from 1 species
AAUACGUUCCCGGGCCCUGUACACACCGCCCGUCAAGUCACGAAAGUUGGUAACACCCGAAGCCGGUGGCCUAACCCUUUGUGGGGGGGAGCCGUCGAAGGUGGGACUGGCGAUUGGGACU